GUACGGAAGGCAGCAGUAGGGAAUAUUGCUCAAUGGGCGAAAGCCUGAAGCAGCAACGCCGCGUGUGCGAUGAAGGCCUUCGGGUCGUAAAGCACUUUUCUGAGAGAUGAGAAAGGACAGUAUCUCAGGAAUAAGUCUCGGCUAACUACGUGCCAGCAGCCGCGGUAAAACGUAGGAGGCGAGCGUUAUCCGGAUUCACUGGGCGUAAAGCGCGUGCGGGCGGUUCGGUAAGUUGGGUAUGAAAUCUCUUGGCUUAACUAGGAGAGGUUAUCCAAUACUACCGGACUUGAGAGUGGUAGAGGAAGAUGGAAUUCCCGGUGUAGUGGUGAAAUGCGUAGAUAUCGGGAGGAACACCAGUGGCGAAAGCGAUCUUCUGGACCAUUUCUGACGCUCAGACGCGAAAGCUAGGGUAGUAAACGGGAUUAGAUACCCUGGU
rnacentral:rRNA from 1 species